UGGGGAAUUUUGGACAAUGGGCGCAAGCCUGAUCCAGCCAUGCCGCGUGCGGGAAGAAGGCCUUCGGGUUGUAAACCGCUUUUGUCAGGGAAGAAAUCUUCUGAGUUAAUACCUCGGGAGGGUGACGGUACCUGAAGAAUAAGCACCGGCUAACUACGUGCCAGCAGCCGCGGUAAUACGUAGGGUGCAAGCGUUAAUCGGAAUUACUGGGCGUAAAGCGUGCGCAGGCGGUUUUGUAAGACAGAGGUGAAAUCCCCGGGCUCAACCUGGGAACUGCCUUUGUGACUGCAAGGCUUGAGUGCGGCAGAGGGGGGAUGGAAUUCCGCGUGUAGCAGUGAAAUGCGUAGAUAUGCGGAGGAACACCGAUGGCGAAGGCAAUCCCCUGGGCCUGCACUGACGCUCAUGCACGAAAGCGUGGGGAGCAAACAGGAUUAGAUACCCUGGUAGUCCACGCCCUAAACGAUGUCAACUGGUUGUUGGGAAGGUUCCUUCUCAGUAACGUAGCUAACGCGUGAAGUUGACCGCCUGGGGAGUACGGCCGCAAGGUU
rnacentral:rRNA from 1 species